GGCACUUCUCCGGUGGCCUAAGUGGUUAGAGCGUCAACCUCUGAUGCUGGAGACCAUGGGUUCGAAACCAGGCUGAGUCA